rnacentral:rRNA from 1 species
UUCUUUGCCGGCGAGCGGCGGACGGGUGAGUAAUGUCUGGGAAACUGCCUGAUGGAGGGGGAUAACUACUGGAAACGGUAGCUAAUACCGCAUAACGUCGCAAGACCAAAGAGGGGGACCUUCGGGCCUCUUGCCAUCAGAUGUGCCCAGAUGGGAUUAGCUAGUAGGUGGGGUAACGGCUCACCUAGGCGACGAUCCCUAGCUGGUCUGAGAGGAUGACCAGCCACACUGGAACUGAGACACGGUCCAGACUCCUACGGGAGGCAGCAGUGGGGAAUAUUGCACAAUGGGCGCAAGCCUGAUGCAGCCAUGCCGCGUGUAUGAAGAAGGCCUUCGGGUUGUAAAGUACUUUCAGCGGGGAGGAAGGCGAUAAGGUUAAUAACCUUGUCGAUUGACGUUACCCGCAGAAGAAGCACCGGCUAACUCCGUGCCAGCAGCCGCGGUAAUACGGAGGGUGCAAGCGUUAAUCGGAAUUACUGGGCGUAAAGCGCACGCAGGCGGUCUGUCAAGUCGGAUGUGAAAUCCCCGGGCUCAACCUGGGAACUGCAUUCGAAACUGGCAGGCUAGAGUCUUGUAGAGGGGGGUAGAAUUCCAGGUGUAGCGGUGAAAUGCGUAGAGAUCUGGAGGAAUACCGGUGGCGAAGGCGGCCCCCUGGACAAAGACUGACGCUCAGGUGCGAAAGCGUGGGGAGCAAACAGGAUUAGAUACCCUGGUAGUCCACGCCGUAAACGAUGUCGACUUGGAGGUUGUGCCCUUGAGGCGUGGCUUCCGGAGCUAACGCGUUAAGUCGACCGCCUGGGGAGUACGGCCGCAAGGUUAAAACUCAAAUGAAUUGACGGGGGCCCGCACAAGCGGUGGAGCAUGUGGUUUAAUUCGAUGCAACGCGAAGAACCUUACCUACUCUUGACAUCCAGAGAACUUUCCAGAGAUGGAUUGGUGCCUUCGGGAACUCUGAGACAGGUGCUGCAUGGCUGUCGUCAGCUCGUGUUGUGAAAUGUUGGGUUAAGUCCCGCAACGAGCGCAACCCUUAUCCUUUGUUGCCAGCGGUUAGGCCGGGAACUCAAAGGAGACUGCCAGUGAUAAACUGGAGGAAGGUGGGG